CUAAGAGUCAGUCACUCCAGCGGAAGUUCUGAGGAACUCCUUUCAUUGGCCUGGGGUCUUGGAGAAGGCGGGGUUCCUCCCAGGUUAGAAGCCCCCUUCUUCCACACCCCUUCGGCCUCCAUGUUUGGGUCCCUCCCAGGAACACCCCCUUGGUGGAAGCCGUCUUUCCCUCUCCUGGAUUUCCCCUCUGGAGUCCCCCUUCCACACUCUCUCGUGGAAGCCUGUCUUCCCCCCUAAACUCCAUCUCUCUAUUCCCUUCCACUCAGUGUGGAAGCUGCUUUCCUGUCCUGGGUUCCAUCUUUCUGGAUUCUCUCACUCGGUGUGAGAGUCAGCUGUGUCUCUCUCUACCUAAAUAAAAUCCCUUUAUCCAACACUUCCUAAGUCCGACAUUUACUGCGCCCUGGUCUCCUCUCAUUCUUAAGAGGGCAGGAGACCAAGCACCUGGAGAAACGUCCUCUCAAGGAAGCCAAGGGCACCCUGAACCCCAAAACCCCAAUAUUACAUUUGGCGAGCCAGCCAGGAGAGGGGUACACCCAAAAGGGGUACGGCCAGAAGAGGGGUACAGCCAGAGAAAGAAAGUUAAAAUCGUGAGUAAAACCGGCCCCAUUGUCCUGUCUCUUUAAAAAUCUCCUGAAGGCGCGGACGGGCAGGGCUGAGGGGAACCUGAGCACGCGCCUCAGAGGCCCGACCCAACCAAAGUUAAAAGCGCAGUUUUUUUACCUCCAAGCUCUCUCUCCGCGUUCCUCUCCUUCUCUAUCCUUCGGAUAUUAUCUCUGGGACCAAAAGCUGCCGAAGCCUGUGGGGUGGAAAGGGCGAGCACUCCCCACUCUCUGCUCAUUGCUGGCGAGGAACAGCCCAGCCCCGGGCGCAGAACCGCGCAUGCGCAGAGGUUGGUCAGAGAAAAACAACGGGGAGGGGCAGGUUCAGCCGGAGUCUGCAGGGGGCCGAGCGCCACGGCCUGAGGCACGGUUCUGUCAGGCCUCCCAGGCGUUCUCCAGCCUCUCCCGGGCCUUCUCCAGCCUCCCGGGUGUUCUCCAGGCCUCUCCCGGGCGUUCUCCAGGCCUCUCCGGCGUUCUACAGCCUCCCGGGUGUUCUUCAGCCUCCCGGGCGUUCUCCAGGCCUCUCCCCGGCGUUCUGCAGCCUUUCCCGGGCGUUCUCCAGGCCUCCAGGGCAUUCUCCAGCCUCUCGGGUGUUCACCAGGCCUCUCCCGGGCGUUCUCCAGGCCUCUCCGGCGUUCUACAGCCUCCCGGGUGUUCUUCAGCCUCCCGGGCGUUCUCCAGGCCUCUCCCCGGCGUUCUGCAGCCUUUCCCGGGCGUUCUCCAGGCCUCUCCCCGGCGUUCUGCAGCCUUUCCCGGGUGUUCUCCAGGCCUUUCCCGGGUGUUCUCCAGCCUCUCCUGCGUUCUCCCGUCCCAGGCAGCAGGGGAAACUCCAUUAUUAAUGAUUGGAGAUGUAUUUAAUUCAUCGGAACUUGAGAGAAUAGAAGUUAUUUACUGAAAAUGUUAACAUCACGCUGAAUAUGGAAAAAUGUAUAAACUAGAAGGUGGAUGGGCCCAAGAGCAAACCAUGGAGAGCAAAGCUAAGGCGUAAAGGAAUACAGUACAUCACAUUACAGACUGAAAUUCUCAUCAGGCAGUUGUGUGAAGACCUACUUCUGUUUCCAGUUCUUUUAUUGAAGAAUCCCACUGAAAAGUACCAUAUUUUGAAUGAAAGGUUAAUCCUAUCCUUCAACCAGCAAAGAAGAAUCUAUCUUUCUUGCUGGGGGGACUCAAACAAUCUCUGGACAUUGUUGGAAACUGUGAAGAGAGAAAAAGAAAAUAUAUAGACAAGUUCUAGAAAAUUCUACCCAAAAGUGACACAACUUAAUUCUGCCACAUCUUACUGACCAACGUCACAUCUUAUGGACCUCAGGGUGGCAGGUUCAUGUAAUACUGAUCCAUAAAACAACAGUUAUGUGAUCCAACACAUGACUCAAUACUCACAUUUCCUAUAAACCUGAGAAGUGCUAAAGGAAACUAUACUACUAUCAUUUUUCAAUGUGCUUCAGAAAAACCAUGGUGGCAUGUAUUGUUUUAAAUCUAUAGUAAAGGUGGACUUGGCGCUAGUGGCAAAGGGAGCUGUGGUUUGGAUUCAUCUUGGAACAUCUCCCGGCAGCAGAAUUUUGUUUAUCUUUCAGUGUUGAUUCCUCAAGGUGGAAAUAGAAAAGGCACAGACCAAGCAUUGUUAGAAGACAUGGCAGUGCUUCCCAUAUAUUUCAUUGUUUUAUUGAGUUUUAUUUGGUGCCCCUGUUUUCCUUAAAUAUCAAGUAUGUUUAACUUCUUACUGUUCUUGGAAUAAAAACUGCACAAUUUAACCAGAGGAGCAGCUUAGAGAUUAUUGAAAGCCGCACUCUCCGGGGCAGGCAUGGCAUUCAAAUGUCUGUAGUUAAAAAUGGCAUGUUUCUUUUUUUCAUCUUCAUUUGUAAUUUCUUGUAAUGAGAAUUAAAUACUGAAAACAGAUAACACCUCAUGAACUUGUCAAAGUUUGGAAAAAGAUACUGAAGUUCAUAUUUUGCUACAUAUUGCAAUGUUUUUUAAAAUAUAUAUCUAAAUAAAGAAAUGCUUACUUAUCCAUCCAGAAACAUUCAACAUUUUUUCAAAAAAUAGCUUUCACCUGGAUUGGUAUUUUAAAAAUGUGACCCAGAGAGGCAUGCCCCUUUAUGAGCUGUGCAAUAUCAAGGGAAGAAAGAGGCACGAAACAUGUUCCUAGGUGCCAGGACCUUGCCGCUGCUUUCAACAAAGGAACUAAACUAGUUUUAUCUUUUUAAUUUUAUUUAGAUUGCUUAGGUUUUCAUUUAAAUAAAGGCACCAUGGCUGAAAACAACAGCAAAUCAAAACAAAGACAAAUUUUUAAAAAUAAUUGAAUGCCACCAAUCUAUAUGAUGGAAAGAACUUUCAAAGAAGAACUAUGUAUACAGAUUGUUCUCAAACUAGAAUGCUUUAGAUAAUGUUCCAUAGCAAGAAUGCUAUAUAAACAGGACUGAUAGAAGUAUUUUUCUGAUUAUUGAUUUUACAAUAUGCCAUUGAUUUAUUUAGAUAAAAGGUAAAGUCUUUUUAAAAUUUAUAUUUAUAAAAUUAGAGACAUAGCAAAAGUGUUGUUUGUUAAAAUAUUCAUUAAUUCUUUGGGGAACAUUUGAAAACAAAGUGAAUUUCCAAGUUAAGAUCUCAAUCUUUAAUAAUUAACAGGUUAAUAAAUUAUUAACUGACAUUACUAGGCACAGGUAAUUUUCAUGUAAAAAGAAAGUAGAAACAGUUUAAGAGGUCAAUGUAUCAACUUCUCCUGAUUUAGAACUCUAAAAGUUUCGUUAUUUAGGAUGUUUUUGUAUUUUUCAUGUAUAUUUGCUUUACA